rnacentral:tRNA from 1 species
GCGGUCGUGGCGGAAUGGCAGACGCGCUAGCUUGAGGGGCUAGUGGGCUUUAGCCCGUGGAAGUUCGAGUCUUCUCGGCCGCAUCA